rnacentral:tRNA from 1 species
ACUAUUUUGGCAGAUAAAAUGUGAUGGUUUUAGAAAUCAUAAAUAUAUAAAUUAAUUUAUAUAAGUAGUA